UAGGGAAUCUUCGGCAAUGGGGGGAACCCUGACCGAGCAACGCCGCGUGAGUGAAGAAGGUUUUCGGAUCGUAAAGCUCUGUUGUUAAGGAAGAACGAGUGUGAGAAUGGAAAGUUCAUGCUGUGACGGUACUUAACCAGAAAGGGACGGCUAACUACGUGCCAGCAGCCGCGGUAAUACGUAGGUCCCGAGCGUUGUCCGGAUUUAUUGGGCGUAAAGCGAGCGCAGGCGGUUAGAAAAGUCUGAAGUGAAAGGCAGUGGCUCAACCAUUGUAGGCUUUGGAAACUGUUUAACUUGAGUGCAGAAGUGGAGGGUGGAAUUCCAUGUGUAGCGGUGAAAGGCGUGGAUAUAUGGGGGAACACCGGUGGCGAAAGCGGCUCUCUGGUCUGUACCUGACGCUGAGGCUCGAAAGCGUGGGGAGCGAACAGG
rnacentral:rRNA from 1 species